CCCACUUAAACCAAUUUAGGCUGUAAGCCAACUGGCAGGGCUGUCAAAACAUUUAGCGAAGGCUCACUCUAACGUAACAGCUGCAAUUUGUAAAAUUACUCUGGCAAGCUAGCUGGGAGAUGAAAUUCCUUAUACAUACAUGUCCUAACUAUUGUGUCUAUAAUAUAAACCGUGAGUAUCCUUUAAAAAUGCAUUACUACCUUCAAAUUACUGAGCUGCUUAUGUGUUAUCUUGCCAAUCAUGACUAGUCACUGAAUUGUGAUUUGUUGCAAAUUAAAAUCCAAAAUUGAAAAAUUGUGUGGCCACAAUGGCCAAGCAGUGACUAUAGGGAAGUUGGAUAAUUUUCCCUGAUCAGCAAUUUUAGUCUUAAUUCUAUCCCUAUUUCAUGACUCCAGAAGUGGCAUAUGCGAAUCAGUUUUGGGCAGCUAUUUUAAUCCAUAGAGUGUGUAAUUGGGCGUUUAAUUAACAGACUGUGGCACAUAAAUAUUUUCUUACCUAAAAUUUGAAAAUUGUUGACAAAACACACUUUUUAGCCCAACAUUGCAUUAUCAGUUCUGCAAAAUUAAGUUCAGUGAAUAGACAUGUUCAUUUAUCGAUUGUUCCUCUGAAAGUGAUCAUCAAAUUAAGUUUGUUCUAGAAAAUUGUUAGGGUUCAGUGGAUUCAAGUGUCGGCUAAUUAACUGUUCAUACCUGGAGAUGUAUGUUUAAUACCUGGCAGGGUCAAAUCAGCCUUUAUUAUCAGCAUAAUAUCAUGAAAACUAUUCAAUUGUAUAUCUAAACCUGACAGUACUUUGAG